rnacentral:tRNA from 1 species
AUUAAUAGUAUUUAUAUUAAAAAUAUUUAAAGUUAUUUUAUAAAAAUUUUAUGAAACUAAAAGUUUCCUGCUGAUU